AGAGGGACAUGCCCAUUGGUGUCUCCCGCAUGUCCCCCCCAUCCCUGUUCCCUGACCCAGGGUUCAGCUGCCCACACAGGACCCCUGUAGGAGUGCUCAGUCCCUGCAGAACGGCUGACAUAGGCUCCCUGCCCUGGAGCCCGGCCACCCAUCCAUGUGGGCCCCCCCCCACCACGACACCCAGGAUCGUGCUACAGGCCCCCAAGAUGCUGCUGCCUGGCUCCGGGCCCUGUGGCCUCCUGGGUGGUCAGGCUCCUGUGAGGGUGCCCCGUGCCCCUCUGGGGGUGCACUAGGGAGCCUGCCUAUGCCCUGUGCCCUCCUCCUGAGGGUGCCAACUCCCCACCCAGGGCCUCCUGCCCCACCUGUGGCGACUCAGCGAAGCCCUCCCUCCUCUGGGGCUAGCGCGCCUGACAUGGUCACCCACCAUCCCCAGUGAGGGGGGCCUGGCUGCAGCCUGGCAGUGCCCCGGCUGGGGCGGUGGGUGGGGGGGAGAGUGGAGAAGACACUGGGGACUGAGCACCCAUAUCCCCCACCUGAGCCACCGUGGCCACUCGGCCCUCUCCAUCCCUCCUGGGCCAGGCACACAGGGCCCCAGGAAGCACCUGCCGUUGCCCUGGGUGAAGUAGUGCAGGUGGGGGAGCUGCAUGUGCAAGGAGGCUCAAGGGCCUGGGCGCGGUGGCCUGGGCGCGGCUGGGUGACGGUCCCCCCCCAUGGUGCUGACUCGCUCACAGCAGCACUGUCCACCUCCACCCCUGCCGUCCAGCAAGGCCAGAGACUCCUGGAGGCCCCUUGGGGCCAGGGAGGCCACCCCCACUGGGCAGCCCUGCCCGAUUACAAAUGACAAUGUCACCAGCGCUGGUCAGAGGCUUUCCGGGUGCUGUGCUUCGUCGUUUGUAGCACCCGGCAGCCAGGGAAGCACGGGAGCAGGCACACAGGUGGGUGUCACAGGGCCACUGAGGCUGGGAGCAGGAAAGCCCCCCGGAGGGGAGGGACCAUUCCCGUCACCCACCCCUGCCCAUCCGCUCACGUCGCAGCGUCUGGAAGGCUCUGCACACGUGCUCUUCUGCUCCUCGAAGGUCUUCGGAGGCUGCGAGCUGACUGCACAUAAAGUCAAAAAUCCAGGAUAUUAA
rnacentral:lncRNA from 1 species